CACACACACACACACAAUUAUAUAUAUACAUGUUCACACACUAGAAAAAACUUCUUCCCAAAAAAGGUUAGUACCAUCCUGAUAAAAAAUUUCAUAACAUUUCUUUAAAAAAUAAUUUUAAAAAAUCACCUUUGCACUU